GGCCCUGUGGUGAAAUUCAUGGUGGGUUGCAAGCUCGCAGAUGUACGUUAGUGACGUACCGGGGUCU
rnacentral:tRNA from 1 species